rnacentral:rRNA from 1 species
AUGCUGACGAGUGGCGGACGGGUGAGUAACGCGUAGGAAUCUACCUUAUAGUGGGGGAUAACCUGGGGAAACCCAGGCUAAUACCGCAUGUUUCUCAAGAGAUAAAGCAGGGGACCUUCGGGCCUUGCGCUAUAAGAUGAGCCUGCGUCGGAUUAGCUAGUUGGUGGGGUAAAGGCCUACCAAGGCGACGAUCCGUAGCUGGUCUGAGAGGACGACCAGCCACACUGGGACUGAGACACGGCCCAGACUCC